rnacentral:rRNA from 1 species
UUGGAGGGCAAGUCUGGUGCCAGCAGCCGCGGUAAUUCCAGCUCCAAUAGCGUAUAUUAAAGUUGUUGCAGUUAAAAAGCUCGUAGUUGAAUUUCGGGGUUAAUAGGUUGGUCAUGCCUCUGGUAUGUACUGGUCUCACUGAUUCCUCCUUCCUGAUGAACCGUAAUGCCAUUAAUUUGGUGUUGCGGGGAAUUUGGACUGUUACUUUGAAAAAAUUAGAGUGUUUAAAGCAGGCUAACGCUUGAAUACAUUAGCAUGGAAUAACGAAAUAGGACGUUCGAUCUUAUUUUGUUGGUUUCUAGGAUUGACGUAAUGAUUAAUAGGGAUAGUUGGGGGCAUUAGUAUUCAAUUGUCAGAGGUGAAAUUCUUGGAUUUAUUGAAGACUAACUACUGCGAAAGCAUUUGCCAAGGAUGUUUUCAUUAAUCAAGAACGAAAGUUAGGGGAUCGAAGACGAUCAGAUACCGUCGUAGUCUUAACCAUAAACUAUGCCGACUAGGGAUCGGAUGAUGUUAAUUUUUUAAUGACUCAUUCGGCGCCUUACGGGAAAC